GAAUAUGAAGCACUGACAUAGCCUGUCCAUGUGGUACUAGAUCUAGAAUACACCUGGCCUGGGAUGGACAGUGUAUGAGACCAUGUGAGCACUGUGGGCACUGCUGAGGUUUACCAGUAUUUCUGGACUGUGUUAAGAUAUUCUGUCUCUCCACUCCUCAUUAGUGAAAGUCAUUUCUGCAUUUGUGGGCAUGGCCAGUUUGCUCAGACUACAUGGCAGAAGUGCACAACAUGACUUGGGCAGCAGAUUCUGCCAGAUCACAAGCUUUUCUAGGGGUUUAGUUGGAUUUUUGAAUAAAGGGGUACCACAGACUUUAUGGAGUAUGUGCCCUGUAAAAGCCUUAAGGGCCAUAUCCUACCUUCUGAGGGUGAUUUCACACCUUUUAACUCCCAGGCUGUGCUGGGGCUUGGACUGUCCAUCUAUUCCUUCAAUAUGAGGAAAAGCUCAUCUUGUAGAAACUGCAGUGUCUGAGUAAAUUCAAUGAGUAACAGCAUGAUCCAGUUUUUGCAGCCUGAAUAUUAUGGAUCCAUCUGGCCCUGGGAUCAGCCCUUGCUGUCUCAUUGACAGUUAUCUAAAAUAACAGACUUAAAAACAAGAGAAGUAAGUAAUUAUAAAUAGGUAGUACUUGGUUAUGACUAAUUUUUCAGGCACACUAUGACAUAAUGGAGACAAACUGCUCUGUUGUUGGCCACAAUCUCCUACAUCAACAAGCAUGUGCUUUGCGCUGCUCUCG
rnacentral:lncRNA from 1 species